rnacentral:lncRNA from 1 species
UCGGUCCCAGGCCUACUGAUAUCCUGUGCUUCCUGGAAUCUGACUUGGCUGAUUGGCUCCAAGCCUGUUCCUUGCUUGCGCUUCUUAACCUCAUUCCCUUCCAAUGGUGAGCUAUCAAGGCUUGGAUUUAGUGAAUGCUCCUAUAUCUCAGCCAUGUCUUUGUCCUGUCAAUAUCCAGGAGUUCUUAAGCUGGUGUCCAUGGACCUCCAAGAGAAGGAAGCAUUAGUAGCUGGGGAGAUGAGGAAGAGACAAAUACACAAAUAAAGGCCACCCUUGAGGA